UCUCUGUGUAUCCCCACAGGAAAGAAGAUUAGUCACUUGCAAAGAGCCACUGAAAUUUAUAAAGAUGUGAUAGUUAACCUCAAGUUUCAACUUGAAAAGACCUAGCUAGACCUAGCCAGGGCAUGCCUGUGGGAGACUGUCUUGAUUAGGUUAACUGAGGUGUGAAGACCCGUCCACCAUGGGUGGCACCAUUCCUUAGGCUGGGAUCCCGGACUGUGUGAAAUGGAGAAGGGACCCUUUGAUGCUUCUAAGGUCUGGGUCAGAGGAGCAAUGUCUCUCCCAGAAGGUGGGAGCUGUGAGAGGAGACUUUGUCACUUGUCACAUACAGGAUUGGCUGAAACUGAGGAGUCAAACCCAGGGUUACACGGAUGAAAGUCCCCGAGCUCAACGUUUAUAUUCAUGGCUAACUUGGCUGGGAGUCCCUGGGGAAGUUACCUACCCCCUCUGAGCCUCCAGUGAUGUCUCAACCAUACUAAGAUAAAUUGAGAAUAAUCUGACCUAUCUUGG
rnacentral:lncRNA from 1 species